rnacentral:rRNA from 1 species
GAUGAACGCUAGCGGCAGGCUUAAUACAUGCAAGUCAAGGGGGUAGCAAUACAACCGGCGCACGGGUGAGUAACGCGUACACAACAUACCAUAUACUGGAGUAUAGCUUUGGGAAACUGAAGGUAAUCCUCCAUAACAUUGCGAGAGGGCAUCUGAUUGCAAUUAAAAGUUUCGGCGGUAUAUGAUUGGUGUGCGUUUGAUUAGCUAGUUGGUAGGGUAACGGCCUACCAAGGCGACGAUCAAUAGCUGGCGUGAGAGCGCGACCAGCCACACUGGAACUGAGACACGGUCCAGACUCCUACGGGAGGCAGCAGUAGGGAAUAUUGGACAAUGGAGGAAACUACUGAUCCAGCCAUGCCGCGUGAUAGAUGAAGGCCCUCCUGGGUUGUAAAUAAUCUUUUAUCUGGAAGAAACACUCCUAUUCUUAGGAACUUGACGGUACCAGAGGAAUAAAGCACCGGCUAACUACCGUCGCCAGCAGCCGCGGUAAAGU